UGGGAAUUUUGGACAAUGGGCGCAAGCCUGAUCCAGCCAUGCCGCGUGCGGGAAGAAGGCCUUCGGGUUGUAAACCGCUUUUGUCAGGGAAGAAAUCUUCUGAGUUAAUACCUCGGGAGGAUGACGGUACCUGAAGAAUAAGCACCGGCUAACUACGUGCCAGCAGCCGCGGUAAUACGUAGGGUGCAAGCGUUAAUCGGAAUUACUGGGCGUAAAGCGUGCGCAGGCGGUUUUGUAAGACAGAGGUGAAAUCCCCGGGCUCAACCUGGGAACUGCCUUUGUGACUGCAAGGCUUGAGUGCGGCAGAGGGGGAUGGAAUUCCGCGUGUAGCAGUGAAAUGCGUAGAUAUGCGGAGGAACACCGAUGGCGAAGGCAAUCCCCUGGGCCUGCACUGACGCUCAUGCACGAAAGCGUGGGGAGCAAACAGGAUUAGAUACCCUGGUAGUCCACGCCCUAAACGAUGUCAACUGGUUGUUGGGAAGGUUCCUUCUCAGUAACGUAGCUAACGCGUGAAGUUGACCGCCUGGGGAGUACGGCCGCAAGGUUGAAACUUAAAUGAAUUGACGGGG
rnacentral:rRNA from 1 species